GUCCAAAGGGCGGGUCAUAGACGGAUUUCUCGGUUAUCAAAAAAAAAAAAGAUCUUGCACAGACUUUCAAGAACUUCAGAAGUAUUAGACAAGCAUGUUUGCAGGCUACGUCUAUCUUAAACUCUGCAACAUUCCAGUCCUAGAACAAUCUUCAUCUUCCUUAUCUCCACGGGCAGUGCAUUGUUUGAUCCACUUGAGUCCUUCCUCACUACUAAAUCUUCGGAAGAUCUUCGUGCAAGUCAACUUGCACGUAGGGUUGUGUAUUUUUUAAGAACAGUGGUGGCUGUUCAGGAAAGCAACCCUUGCAUCAUCCACGGAGUUAGAAGCUUUGGUGUACUCAUCAGAUAUAUGCAACGGCAGCAGCUUCCAGUCUUGGGAAACUGAUCAUGGAUGGAUGCCCUUAUUUCGAUGCAUAUGGAAUUGAGAAAAUCUUAUGGACCUGAAGUGUCUGGUAUCCCUCAAUGGAUCAGAUGGGAAAAACACUAACUACAUCCUAGGGAACUAGAUAUUGUGAGCUUGGUGGAUGACUGUCAUACAGGAUUGAAACGUAUCCUGUCUAUGCUCUUGGAAUGAGAGGUAUCGGCUGAAUUAAGUGAUGAAGAUGCAACAAACCUAAUUCGGCUGCUUUUUGCGUCUACUAAGAAGGCAGUUUUGGAGAAGAUUGUUCCUGUUAGUGUUUUCUAAAAAGAAAUAUCACACCAAAGCACAAAAGGCUAAUCAAUUUGGGCAUUGAGAUUAUCCAAUACGUAUCUUGGUGUGGCGACCCGGAUAGCUUGUUAUUGCUGCUUCUGUCUCUUGCAUGCAACCGGUGUUUGCAGCCAUGGCGUGAUUGACUUCUGUUCUUCCUUAUCAUAGCAUACAUCUUAUCCCCAUUUCCUUGAAAAGAAAGAGAAAGAAUCUUUCUGUGGUUCAAUUUUGAGAUAUGUUGAACCUGCGAGUUUCUACUACAAGCUUAUAAUCAUCUUGCAGUCCUAAUGUGUAAUCUUAUUUGGUCAGUAUCAGCUGAGCCUGCCUAGAAAGAAAGAAGAAUGAGGCAUCAGAGAGAUUGGGAUUUUCUGUAAAUGGUGGUUACCCCUCUCUACUCUGCCCAUGAUUUCUCCAUUGAUAACUAAAAAACCAACAGUCUUCAAAAUAUACAUGAAAAUAAUAAAAUAAUAAUAAUACCGUGAGAGAUGAUUCUGUGUGGAUGACCAGCUCGGACGUUCUGGUGAUUUCUCUUUGCUAUGAACUUCUCCGUGUGGAUGACCAUUCCAAACAUUCUGGUGACUUAUUUUUGCUUUGAAUUUAAA